GCAGUGACACGUUUAGAAGAGGACAGACAGUGGAAGAAGAGCUCUUUUCUCAUGCCCUAGGACUCCGUAACAACAUUCUCUAAGAAGAAGAACAACAUUCUCUAAGGAGUAGAAGUCAAAAUACCACUGCCAAAAAUACAACUACAC